rnacentral:rRNA from 1 species
AUUGAACGCUGGCGGCAGGCCUAACACAUGCAAGUCGAGCGGAUGAGGGGAGCUUGCUCCCUGAUUUAGCGGCGGACGGGUGUGUAAUGCCUAUGAAUCUGCCUGGUUGUGGGUUAUAACGUUCCGAAAGGAACGCUAAUACCGCAUACGUCCUACGGGUGAAAGCAGGGGACCUUCGGGCCUUGCGCUAUCAGAUGAGCCUAGGUCGGAUUAGCUAGUUGGUGAGGUAAUGUCUCACCAAGGCGACGAUCCGUAACUGGUCUGAGAGGAUGAUCAGUCACACUGGAACUGAGACACGGACAAGACUACUACGGGAGGAAGCAGUGGGGAAUAUUGGACAAUGGGCGAAAGCAUGAUCCAGCAAUGCCGCGUGUGUGAAGAAGGUCUUCGGAUUGUAAAGCAAUUUAAGUUGGGAGGAAGGGAUGCUGGUUAAUACCCUGCAGUUUUGACGUUACCAACAGAAUAAGCACCGGCUAACUUCGUG